UACGAAGGGGCUAGCGUUGCUCGGAAUCACUGGGCGUAAAGCGCACGUAGGCGGAUCUUUAAGUCAGGGGUGAAAUCCCAAGGCUCAACCUUGGAACUGCCUUUGAUACUGGGAUCUCGAGUCCGGAAGAGGUUGGUGGAACUGCGAGUGUAGAGGUGAAAUUCGUAGAUAUUCGCAAGAACACCAGUGGCGAAGGCGGCCAACUGGUCCGGUACUAACGCUGAGGUGCGAAGCGUGGGAGCAAACAG
rnacentral:rRNA from 1 species